rnacentral:rRNA from 1 species
UGGGGAAUUUUCCGCAAUGGGCGAAAGCCUGACGGAGCAAUACCGCGUGAGGGAGGAAGGCUUUUGGGUUGUAAACCUCUUUUCUCAAGGAAGAAGCAAGUGACGGUACUUGAGGAAUCAGCAUCGGCUAACUCCGUGCCAGCAGCCGCGGUAAUACGGAGGAUGCAAGCGUUAUCCGGAAUUAUUGGGCGUAAAGCGUCCGCAGGUGGCGAUUCAAGUCUGCUGUCAAAGACUGGGGCUCAACCCCAGAAAGGCAGUGGAAACUGGAUAGCUAGAGUACGGUAGGGGUUGAGGGAAUUCCCAGUGUAGCGGUGAAAUGCGUAGAUAUUGGGAAGAACACCAGUGGCGAAGGCGCUCAACUGGGCCGUAACUGACACUCAGGGACGAAAGCUAGGGUAGCGAAAGGGAUUAGAUACCCGCGUAGUCC